AUUGAACGUUGGCGGCAGGCCUAACACAUGCAAGUCGAGCGGAUGAAGGGAGCUUGCUCCUGGAUUCAGCGGCGGACGGGUGAGUAAUGCCUAGGAAUCUGCCUGGUAGUGGGGGAUAACGUCCGGAAACGGGCGCUAAUACCGCAUACGUCCUGAGGGAGAAAGUGGGGGAUCUUCGGACCUCACGCUAUCAGAUGAGCCUAGGUCGGAUUAGCUAGUUGGUGGGGUAAAGGCCUACCAAGGCGACGAUCCGUAACUGGUCUGAGAGGAUGAUCAGUCACACUGGAACUGAGACACGGUCCAGACUCCUACGGGAGGCAGCAGUGGGGAAUAUUGGACAAUGGGCGAAAGCCUGAUCCAGCCAUGCCGCGUGUGUGAAGAAGGUCUUCGGAUUGUAAAGCACUUUAAGUUGGGAGGAGGGGCAGUAAGUUAAUACCUUGCUGUUUUGACGUUACCAACAGAAUAAGCACCGGCUAACUUCGUG
rnacentral:rRNA from 1 species